rnacentral:rRNA from 1 species
AGCGAACGCUGGCGGCAGGCUUAACACAUGCAAGUCGAGCGGGCAUCCUUGUGGUGUCCGCGGCAGACGGGUGAGUAACGCGUGGGAACGUGCCCUUCGGUUCGGAAUAACUCAGGGAAACUUGAGCUAAUACCGGAUACGUGCGAGAGCAGAAAGGUUUAUCUGACGAAGGAGCGGCCCGCUUCUGAUUAGCUAGUUGGUGAGGUUACGGCUCACCAAGGCGACGAUCAGUAGCUGGUCUGAGAGGAUGAUCAGCCACACUGGCACUGAGACACGGCCCAGACUCCUACGGGAGGCAGCAGUGGGGAAUAUUGGACAAUGGGGGCAACCCUGAUCCAGCCAUGCCGGGUGAGUGAUGACGGCCUUAGGGUUGUAAAGCUCUUUUCUCCGGGACGAUAACGACGGUACCGGAGGAAUAAGCCCCGGCUAACUUCGUG